rnacentral:tRNA from 6 species
GGCCUGCUGGCGAAAUGGCAUCGCGUCAGAUUUCGGCUCUGAAGAUUCUAGGUUCGAUCCCUAGGUAGGUCG